rnacentral:rRNA from 1 species
AACGAACGCUGGCGGCAUGCCUAACACAUGCAAGUCGAACGAACCCUUCGGGGUUAGUGGCGCACGGGUGCGUAACACGUGGAAUCCGCCCUUUGCUUCGGAAUAACAGUUAGAAAUGACUGCUAAUACCGGAUGAUGUCGUAAGACCAAAGAUUUAUCGGCAAAGGAUGAGCCCGCGUAGGGAUUAGGUAGUUGGUGGGGUAAAGGCCUACCAAGCCGACGAUCCUUAGCUGGUCUGAGAGGAUGAUCAGCCACACUGGGACUGAGACACGGCCCAGACUCCUACGGGAGGCAGCAGUGGGGAAUAUUGGACAAUGGGCGAAAGACCUGAUCCAGCAAUGCCGCGUGAGUGAUGAAGG